rnacentral:rRNA from 1 species
GACGAACGCUGGCGGCGUGCUUAACACAUGCAAGUCGAACGAAGAGCGAUGGAAGCUUGCUUCUAUCAAUCUUAGUGGCGCACGGGUGAGUAACGCGUAAUCAACCUGCCCUUCAGAGGGGGACAACAGUUGGAAACGACUGCUAAUACCGCAUACGAUCUAAACUCGGCAUCGAGGAUAGAUGAAAGGUGGCCUCUACAUGUAAGCUAUCACUGAAGGAGGGGAUUGCGUCUGAUUAGCUAGUUGGAGGGGUAACGGCCCACCAAGGCGAUGAUCAGUAGCCGGUCUGAGAGGAUGAACGGCCACAUUGGGACUGAGACACGGCCCAGACUCCUACGGGAGGCAGCAGUGGGGAAUCUUCCGCAAUGGACGAAAGUCUGACGGAGCAACGCCGCGUGAGUGAUGACGGCCGUCGGGUUGUAAAGCUCUGUUAAUCGGGACGAAAGGCCUUCUUGCGAAUAGUGAGAAGGAUUGACGGUACCGGAAUAGAAAGCCACGGCUAACUACGUG